UACGUAGGUGGCAAGCGUUGUCCGGAUUUACUGGGCGUAAAGGGCGUGCAGGCGGUUUGUUAAGUGCAGGGUGAAAGCUCCCGGCUCAACUGGGAGAGGUCCUUGCAUACUGGCAAACUCGAGGGAGGCAGAGGAAAGUGGAAUUCCCGGUGUAGUGGUGAUAUGCGUAGAUAUCGGGAGGAACACCUGUGGCGAAGGCGGCUUCCUGGGCCUUACCUGACGCUGAGACGCGAAAGCGUGGGGAGCGAACCGG
rnacentral:rRNA from 1 species